rnacentral:tmRNA from 1 species
GGGGGCGAUCGGCUUCGACGGAGAUCUCGACCAUUUGUUGCGUGCCGUGGGUCUCGUGGGACCACGUAAAAACCUCGCGGGAAACACAAUUGCGAACGAUAACGCAAUUGCUCUCGCUGCCUAAACAGCAGGUCUGAGAGCCGGGCGACCCAGGAGCUUGCCGGUGCUCCGGGAAGACCGUCAACGAACCGGCUGGCCGAGGCUCGGGUCACCGGGGCCGACGCGAGAUCAAACAGGUGAAUAGUCCCGAGGCGAGCGCGCCGGUCCGCGCAAAUCGGGACGAUCAAGUCGGCCGGACACGCACGUAGACGCAGGUGGCCUCGAUAUUUUCGGACCCGGGUUCGAUUCCCGGCGCCUCCACCA